rnacentral:rRNA from 1 species
UACAGAGGUCUCGAGCGUUGUUCGGAUUCAUUGGGCGUAAAGGGUGCGUAGGCGGCGGGGCAAGUCUGAUGUGAAAUCUCCACGCUUAACGUGGAGGGGCCAUUCGAAACUGCCGUGACUCGAGUCCGGUAGGGGAGUGCGGAAUUCCCGGUGUAGCGGUGAAAUGCGCAGAUAUCGGGAGGAACACCAGUGGCGAAGGCGGCACUCUGGGCCGGAACUGACGCUGAGGAGCGAAAGCGUGGGGAGCGAACAGG